UAAGGAACUUCCGAAGUUUCAAGGAAAAAAUGCUUUGCGUGGAAUGAAAUUUUUUCCACGUAUCCUAAAAAAUUAAAAAUUUUUUUUCUUUGAAAAAUUUACAGUGGUCUACCUAUUAAAAUAAAAAAAAAUUGUAGUAAUAGAAAUAAGGAAAUUUAGCUUGCUUUCACGCGAAUUUUCGAAAACCAUCGGCUCAAGGCAAUUCCUGAGAAACCGAUUACAAUCAUUUUGACGGAGAAUUCUUCAGCGUUGAUAUUGGGAGCGAAUUCAUCAUAAUCAUUAUCAGCAUUUAGAAGCUUGAUCAGCAAGUAAGAGUAUUCUAAUGUAAUGGAUUGAUCCAAAUAUUUAUAAGUAGAAGACAUACCACAAAAUAAGUGCAUAUGAGAUCAAUACAGCAACCGUUCAGGAAAAAAGACUGUUUAGCUUAAAUUUCUCCCACUGGGGGCGAUGCGUACACAAAUGCCCAUUUCAAUGUAUUUCUAAUUGUCACUUUGUUAAAACUACUGUCAGAGAGUCAAAACGAACUGAACAAGUGCCCAGAAAAUUUUGAAAAUAACUUACAAAUAAUUAAGCACAACCAGGAAUAAGACGAUAUCGAAAGAAUGAAAAGUUGGAAAUAAUUUGUAGA